rnacentral:misc_RNA from 1 species
UUAUUAAAUUAACUUUUUACUCCGACGUAAGAAUGCAGUGUUUAAUGACCUCCGGGGUGAAUGCCGCUCGCGCGGCAGGGUCGCCCCCGAAGCAACAUGAUGCGUUCACAAAGGGUUGGAGGUCGGGAUUGCUCCCUCACUCAGUAAUGAUCCCUCCGCAGGUUCACCUACGGAGA